rnacentral:tRNA from 1 species
GCUGAGGUGUCCGAGUGGUUAAGGAGUUGGACUCGAAAUCCAAUGGGCUCUGCCCGCACAGGUUCGAAUCCUGUCCUCAGCG